rnacentral:rRNA from 1 species
AUGUGCAAGAGCGGGAGGCUGCUGCUUGAGAAUAAAUUCUCUGGCGAAAUCCCAGCGACCUACGCGAGAUGCACGACCCUGGAGAGGUUCCGUGUCAGCAAAAACUCGCUCUCCGGCGAGGUACCCCAGGGCUUAUGGGCGCUUCCCAACGUCGAAAUUAUUGACCUUGCGGACAACCAUCUCACCGGCGGCAUCGGUGACGGCAUUGGCAGCGCCAGGUCGCUGGCCACUCUCUUACUCGGUCGGAACCGGUUCCUCGGCGCCAUACCAUCGUCGAUAGGCAAUGCCAGAAAUCUGCAGAGUUUAGACCUUUGGUCCAACAAACUCUCCGGUACCAUACCGUCGUCCAUAGGCAACGCAAAAAACCUCGAGUAUAUAGACUUUUCGUCGAACCAGCUCUCCGGCGCUAUACCGUCGUCCAUAGGCAACGCCGGAAAUCUCCAGAAGAUAUACCUUUCGUCCAACAAACUCUCCGGCAUGUUAUGA